CAAAGGAAGAGUAAGGAAAAGGACAUACGGCAGAAUAUUUGGUGGCACAGAAGCAAUCUCGGAAGUGAAAGGUCAUCGAUAUAGACUACCAUUCGAAUUGA